rnacentral:rRNA from 1 species
CAGCCGCCACGGGAAUACGGAGGGGGCUAGCGUUGUUCGGAGUUACUGGGCGUAAAGCGCACGUAGGCGGCUUUGUAAGUCAGAGGUGAAAGCCUGGAGCUCAACUCCAGAAUUGCCUUUGAGACUGCAUCGCUUGAACGUCGGAGAGGUGAGUGGAAUUCCGAGUGUAGAGGUGAAAUUCGUAGAUAUUCGGAAGAACACCAGUGGCGAAGGCGGCUCACUGGACGACUGUUGACGCUGAGGUGCGAAAGCGUGGGGAGCAAACAGGAUUAGAUACCCCUGUAGUCCCUGUCUCUUAUAC